rnacentral:rRNA from 1 species
UACGGAGGGGGCGAGCGUUGUUCGGAAUUACUGGGCGUAAAGGGCGCGUAGGCGGCCCAUCAAGUUAGGCGUGAAAGCCCCGGGCUCAACCUGGGAAUUGCGAUUGGGACUGCAAGGCUCGAGUGCGGCAGAGGGGGGUGGAACUCCACGUGUAGCAGUGAAAUGCGUAGAUAUGUGGAGGAACAUCAAUGGCGAAGGCAGCCCCUGGGUCGACACUGACGCUCAUGCACGAAAGCGUGGGGAGCAAACAGGAUUAGAAACCCGUGUAGU